rnacentral:rRNA from 1 species
AUUGAACGCUGGCGGCAUGCUUUACACAUGCAAGUCGAACGGUAACAGGCCUUCGGGUGCUGACGAGUGGCGAACGGGUGAGUAAUGCAUCGGAACAUACCCAGUCGUGGGGGAUAACGUAGCGAAAGUUACGCUAAUACCGCAUACGUCCUGAGGGAGAAAGCGGGGGAUCGCAAGACCUCGCGCGAUUGGAGUGGCCGAUGUCAGAUUAGCUAGUUGGUGGGGUAAAGGCCCACCAAGGCGACGAUCUGUAGCGGGUCUGAGAGGAUGAUCCGCCACACUGGGACUGAGACACGGCCCAGGCUCCUACGGGAGGCAGCAGUGGGGAAUUUUGGACAAUGGGGGAAACCCUGAUCCAGCCAUGCCGCGUGCGGGAAGAAGGCCUCGGUGUAACG